rnacentral:rRNA from 1 species
UACGGGGGGGGCAAGCGUUGUUCGGAAUUACUGGGCGUAAAGGGUUUGUAGGUGGCCUGCUAAGUCAGACGUGAAAUCCCUCAGCUUAACUGGGGAACUGCGUCUGAGACUGGCGGGCUUGAGGGCAGGAGAGGAACGCGGAAUUCCAGGUGUAGCGGUGAAAUGCGUAGAUAUCUGGAGGAAUACCGGUGGCGAAGGCGGCAUCCUGGACCGAGAUUGACGCUGAUGAGCGAAAGCUAGGGGAGCAAACGGG